UACGGAGGGGGCUAGCGUUGUUCGGAAUCACUGGGCGUAAAGGGCGCGUAGGCGGCCUCAGGUGUCGGAUGUGAAAGCCCGGGGCUCAACCCCGGAGGUGCAUCCGAAACUCUGGGGCUGGAGGUCGGAAGAGGAGGGUGGAAUACCCAGUGUAGAGGUGAAAUGCGUAGAGAUGUGGAGGAACACCGAUGGCGAAGGCAGCCCCCUGGGUCAAGAUUGACGCUCAUGCACGAAAGCGUGGGGAGCAAACAGG
rnacentral:rRNA from 1 species